CUACGGAGGGUGCGAGCGUUGUUCGGAAUUAUUGGGCGUAAAGAGCAUGUAGGCGGUCUGUUAAGUCUGGUGUGAAAGCCCGGGGCUCAACCCCGGAAGUGCAUUGGAUACUGGCAGACUUGAGUAUGGGAGAGGAAAGCGGAAUUCCGAGUGUAGGAGUGAAAUCCGUAGAUAUUCGGAGGAACACCAGUGGCGAAGGCGGCUUUCUGGACCAAUACUGACGCUGAGAUGCGAAAGCGUGGGGAGCAAACAGGAUUAGAAACCCGAGUAGUCC
rnacentral:rRNA from 1 species